rnacentral:rRNA from 1 species
AGAGUUUGAUCCUGGCUCAGAUUGAACGCUGGCGGCAUGCCUUACACAUGCAAGUCGAACGGUAACAGGUCUUCGGACGCUGACGAGUGGCGAACGGGUGAGUAAUACAUCGGAACGUGCCCAGUCGUGGGGGAUAACUACUCGAAAGAGUAGCUAAUACCGCAUACGAUCUGAGGAUGAAAGCGGGGGACCUUCGGGCCUCGCGCGAUUGGAGCGGCCGAUGGCAGAUUAGGUAGUUGGUGGGAUAAAAGCUUACCAAGCCGACGAUCUGUAGCUGGUCUGAGAGGACGACCAGCCACACUGGGACUGAGACACGGCCCAGACUCCUACGGGAGGCAGCAGUGGGGAAUUUUGGACAAUGGGCGCAAGCCUGAUCCAGCCAUGCCGUGUGCGAUGAAGGCCUUCGGGUUGUAAAGCACUUUUGGCAGGAAAGAAACGUCCCGGAUUAAUACCCUGGGAAACUGACGGUACCUGCAGAAUAAGCACCGGCUAACUACGUGCCAGCAGCCGCGGUAAUACGUAGGGUGCAAGCGUUAAUCGGAAUUACUGGGCGUAAAGCGUGCGCAGGCGGUUCGGAAAGAAAGAUGUGAAAUCCCAGAGCUUAACUUUGGAACUGCAUUUUUAACUACCGAGCUAGAGUGUGUCAGAGGGAGGUGGAAUUCCGCGUGUAGCAGUGAAAUGCGUAGAUAUGCGGAGGAACACCGAUGGCGAAGGCAGCCUCCUGGGAUAACACUGACGCUCAUGCACGAAAGCGUGGGGAGCAAACAGGAUUAGAUACCCUGGUAGUCCACGCCCUAAACGAUGUCAACUAGCUGUUGGGGCCUUCGGGCCUUGGUAGCGCAGCUAACGCGUGAAGUUGACCGCCUGGGGAGUACGGUCGCAAGAUUAAAACUCAAAGGAAUUGACGGGGACCCGCACAAGCGGUGGAUGAUGUGGAUUAAUUCGAUGCAACGCGAAAAACCUUACCUACCCUUGACAUGUCUGGAAUGCCGAAGAGAUUUGGCAGUGCUCGCAAGAGAACCGGAACACAGGUGCUGCAUGGCUGUCGUCAGCUCGUGCCGUGAGAUGUUGGGUUAAGUCCCGCAACGAGCGCAACCCUUGUCAUUAGUUGCUACGAAAGGGCACUCUAAUGAGACUGCCAGUGACAAACCGGAGGAAGGUGGGGAUGACGUCAAGUCCUCAUGGCCCUUAUGGGUAGGGCUUCACACGUCAUACAAUGGUCGGGACAGAGGGUCGCCAACCCGCGAGGGGGAGCUAAUCCCAGAAACCCGAUCGUAGUCCGGAUCGCAGUCUGCAACUCGACUGCGUGAAGUCGGAAUCGCUAGUAAUCGCGGAUCAGCAUGUCGCGGUGAAUACGUUCCCGGGUCUUGUACACACCGCCCGUC